rnacentral:rRNA from 1 species
AUGCAUUGGUAUGCAUGGUGGAAGCUAUGUAAUCCAAAGAAGAUGGGAGGGAUGGGGUUUCGAGACCUUCACUCCUUUAAUUUGGCCAUGCUAGCUAAGCAGUGUUGGAGAUUCAUAGCUAGUCCAGAUUCUCUAUGUGCUAAGGUGUUGCAUGUUAAGUACCAUCCAGAUGGCAAUUUAUUAUUGGUUGGCCCAAAAAUGGCUCCUCUUUUACUUGGCAAAGUUUGGUAG